rnacentral:rRNA from 1 species
UGAGGAAUAUUGGACAAUGGUGGGAACACUGAUCCAGCCAUGCCGCGUGCAGGAUGACUGCCCUAUGGGUUGUAAACUGCUUUUAUAUAGGAAGAAACCUUUCUUCUAGCAAGAGAGCUGACGGUACUAUAAGAAUAAGGAUCGGCUAACUCCGUGCCAGCAGCCGCGGUAAUACGGAGGAUCCAAGCGUUAUCCGGAAUCAUUGGGUUUAAAGGGUCCGCAGGCGGAUUGUUAAGACAGAGGUGAAAGUUUGCCGCUCAACGGUAAAAUUGCCUUUGAUACUGAUAGUCUUGAAUCAUUGUGAAGUGGUUAGAAUAUGUAGUGUAGCGGUGAAAUGCAUAGCUAUUACAUAGAAUACCGAUUGCGAAGGCAGAUCACUAACAAUGUAUUGACGCUGCGGGACGAAAGCGUGGGUAGCGACCGGGAUUAGAUACCCCUGUAGUCC